rnacentral:rRNA from 1 species
CCUACGGGUGGCAGCAGUGGUGAAUUUUGGACAAUGGGCGCAAGCCUGAUCCAGCUAUUCCGCGUGUGGGAUGAAUGCCCUCGGGUUGUAAACCCCUUUUGUAGAGAACGAACAGACACCUUCGAAUAAAGGGUGUUGCUGCCGGUACUCUAAGAAUAGCCCCGGCUAACUACGUUCCAGCCGCCGCGGUAAAACGUAGGAUGCGAGCGUUAGACGGAUUUAUUGGGUUUAAAGGGUUCGGAGGCGGAAGAUCAAGUCAGCGGUGAAAUUGAGAGUCUCAACCUCUUCGAGCCGUUGAAACUGGUUUUCUUGAGUGAGUGAGAAGUAUGCGGAAUGCGUGGUGUAGCGGUGAAAUGCAUAGAUAUCACGCAGAACUCCGAUUGCGAAGGCAGCAUACCGGCGCUCAACUGACGCUCAUGCACGAAAGUGUGGGUAUCGAACAGGAUUAGAUACCCUUGUAGUC